AUUGAACGCUGGCGGCAGGCCUAACACAUGCAAGUCGAACGAGUGGCGGACGGGUGAGUAAUGCAUGGGAAACUGGCUGAUGGAGGGGGAUAACGACGGGAAACUGUAGCUAAUACCGCGUACCAUCGGAUGAGCCCAAGUGGGAUUAGGUAGUGGGUGGGGUAAAGGCCAACCAAGCCGACGAUCUCUAGCUGGUCUGAGAGGAUGACCAGCCACAACGGUACUGAGACACGGCCCCGACUCCUACGGGAGGCAGCAGUGGGGAAUAUUGCGCAAUGGGUGCAACCCUGACGCAGCCAUGCCGCGUGUAUGAAGAAGGCCUUCGGGUUGUAAAGUACUUUCGGCGGCUAGGCGUUACUCACAGAAGAAGCACCGGCUAACUCCGUGCCAGCAGCCGCGGUAAUUC
rnacentral:rRNA from 1 species